rnacentral:lncRNA from 1 species
GAAAUGAGGGCUUAUUGCAGCAGCUACUCGCCCUUGCAAUGCUUCCUGCUUGGAAACUCGAAGGACUACAUUGAGCAGGUGGAAUAAAGUUGAAUCGAAGGUUCAACUUGCAAGCAGUCAGGAGGAGGUCUGCCCUGAAGCACUGUGCAGACUGGGACCUGCAGCAGGGCUGGGAGGGGGAGUGUCGAGGAAAUGCCUUUUGCACAGAUGAGGGCCUUUGCUCUCUCCCUAAGGGUUCCGCCUGUCACCAUCUGUGCACCCACUGUGGAAGGGCCAGCGCUAAGGCCAUUGCAGAGGCUGAGAGGGCAACAAGGAAGGGAGAGGAAGAACAGGCAGAGCCACCCACCUGGCAACAGAUUCUGAACAGGGGAGAAAG